ACAAUGUUUUCUCUAGCUCUGUUACUGCUCUUAGCAGCUGGAUGUGUGAAGUGUGAACAGCUGACACAGCCAGCCUCUUUGACUGUGCGGCCAGGUCAACGUUUGACCAUCACCUGUCAGGUCUCUUAUUCUGUGAGCAGCUAUUGGACUCACUGGAUCAGACAGCCUGCAGGAAAAGGACUGGAAUGGAUUGGAGAAGAGCGUGUUGGAUACACAACAUACUACAAAGAUUCACUUAAAACCAAGUUCAGUAUUUCCACAGACUCUUCCAGCAACACAGUUACUUUAACAGGACAGAAUGUGCAGCCUGAAGACACAGCUGUGUAUUACUGUGCCAGAGAGCCACACACUGUAACACAAAACAUCAAUAGACCUGAACAAGAACUCUGCAGUGCGUCAGUAGUUGUAAACCAGCAGAGGAGGAGCUUCUGGACCAUUGUUGUUUUUAAAUGCCACUUUUAA